rnacentral:lncRNA from 1 species
GGACAUUGAUUGCACAGACUAAAGCAAAUAGUGCACACCACGUACACUUCCUCUCCGUCUCUACCACAGACACCUCCUCUCGGUCUAUGAACCACCGCCCUCUCCGUCUCUGAACCACCGCCCUCUGUCUUCCUCUCCGUCUCGGCGAACUCCGUAGCUGGACGUUUAUUCUACUUAUCAUUCCAUCUCUUAAGAACUUCAUCUGCGGUGAAGGUUUGUUCUUCAUACAUAUAUAAUCAAUUAUAUUUGAAGUUGUUUCUCUUCUGAAAAUAUAUGGAUAUGGGUUUGUUAUCCAUUGGUUAUUUAUCUUAAAUUUCAGUAAUUUAGUUGCUUAUAAGAAUUGAUUAAUUUGAUCUUUGUUUUAACUGCCUUUGUUGUGCUCUUUCUUUGGUUCCUGGUUGUUGUCUUUCUUUGCACGUAAUGUGUUUGAUCUGAGAGUUGUUUGAAAAAUUAAGUCAAUGUAAUUGCAUUCGGAGUUGUUUUUGACAAACAAUUCUCCAUAACUCAGCAUUAUGCUUAAAAACAUAGGGGAAUUCAGCAUAUGUGCUUUGUAGGUGCUACCUGAAUCAAGCACGGUCAUAUUAAUCGAAUGAGAUUUUUGUUUCCAAGCAAGUGUUUAGGUGAUAAAUUAAAUUUUAUUUUUUUUUAUGUUUAUUGUAUCAUGAUUUUACCUAGCCACAAUUUUGCAAUAUUUUUAACUACAGAACAGUUUUUGGUGUCCAUGUCUUGCUCUCUGACUAACACCUGAUUAGAGUUUAUAAGUUAACACCAUAAAUGUUUAAUACUCUUGCUAAGCUUUCCGCACUUUAUCUUUGAGGUUACUGUAUGACAUGCAUUGAUGCUUGACGCAGAGUUUCUGUAAGUGAAGAUUCAAGAUACAGGGUUUCAGAAUCUUAGUUAAUACUUCUUUGCUAAGGCCAGGACUCGCAAAGCAGUCAUUGUAGUUUUUUUCUUUCACACAAUUUUUAUUUGCAUCGUGGUUCAGGCUUAGUGCACAAAUUAAGUAUUAUUAACAGUCCUUGAACAGAUCAAAGAUGAAUAUUUUAUAAAUGCUAGGCUGUUUAACUUUGAGAAUGCUUCAAUUUGAAUUAUCCGUUUGUUGAAUUCUUUUUACUGUGUUGCUUAAACAUUCGGUUGCGACGACCACAUUUUUUUAGUACUGCCAAGUGCCAUGAGUCCGGGUGGAUAUUGUUUCUUAAUAUCCUGUCAUGAGAAAUACAUUUUGCAGAAUUGUUAAAGCCUCGUGCUUUUGUAGUAAUAGAAGAUAAUAGUAGAAUAGACGCAUAACUCCAUAAAAACACCCCUCCAGACUCCCUAUCCUUCCUGCAAACUUCUAGAGGUUUAAAUUUAGAGUUUUAUAUAAGCAUUACUAAUUCAUUGAGUAAUUUUAUGUUAUUAUAUGAAUUGUCAUUUAAUAGUAUCAUGGCCGCAUUUCGGAGUUUCAAACAACUUUCAGAUCAAACAGUUUACCUGCAUCAUUCAUUCUCAGUUUUUUCAUGGUUUUACCUCCCCUGCUAAAAGAACACACUCGGAUUGCUGACAGCCUUCAACAAUGCCUCUUCUGGGGAAAUAUUCAACCUUAACUUGCAAAAUAAAAUUAAAAGAAAAUUGAGGUCAUCAGGUUUAAAUUUGGGCCUCCCUUAUUAUGAGCUCUUAUACCACGAUAGCUGGUAAGUUGCCAAAUUUUCUAAUAUCUUAAUUAGAUGACAGGGAAUAAUGUUACUGUAGAAAGCAGACCAAUGGUAUAUUUUUGUUAGUUUCUAACUACCUUAAGUUUACUUAUAAUUUAUAGCAGCAUUAGUACCCUCAGGGAUCAGCGUUGGUUAGUCUUGAGUAUCUGAUGCAGAACCAAUCAAUAUUCAACAUGGCCUGGUUUGGGAAAUAGGAAUCAUGUUGCAUUUGGACUGGUCUAAUAGCCUGCCCAGGCUUUAAAUUAUAAACUAUGGUUGAAGUUUCUGGUUAAUUGACACAAAGAGUUAUGAACUAAUUUAUGGUAAUAGCCUGAAAACACAGACUACUCCAGAUCUUUUGUAUUUAUUAGACCUAAAAAAUUCACAAGAAAAGCCCGUGGUUUCUAACUAUCAGAGUUAGCUCCUGGCUCUUUUAAUUCUACUGUAUCGACUUCUUAUUCUUCCAUGGAUACUCUUUUUUCAGAGUUUCCUUCUGAAAAUCAAACUACUUAAACAACUUUUUAUACAAAAUUUAGUAAAAACGGAUAUGUUAAAGAAUAUCUAAGAAAAUUAACAUUGCUUCCAUUCAUAUGUUUUUCAGGGGAACAAGAAAACACAGACUACUCCAGAUCUUUUGUAAUUAUUAGACCUAAAAAAUGCACCAGAAAAGCCUGUGGCUUGAGAGUUUAAUUAUCAAUACAAUUGCCUAUUCUGGCUUGAGAGUUUAAUUAUCAAUACAAUUGCCUAUUCUGGCUUGAGAGUUUAAUUAUCAAUACAAUUGCCUAUUCUGGUGCCAAAUGAAUUGGAAAAGCAGGGUGUAAGAAAUUGAUUAAAUAAUUUCAAACUGAUAUUUUUAUAUUUGCUCAACUUAUCUGUGAUGACCUAUAGAAUUAUGCUCAAAUGAAUUGUGAAUUAUAUAGCUAACAGACAGCUCGGUGCAUCAAAAAAAUAUUUUCGACUCAUCUGUUGCAAAUCCUGCAAAUUCAGUGGCUACUAUCAGUGGAGAAAACGUUCAUAGAAGGAUGAUUCUGUCACACAUUAACUAUGACACAAAUAUGUAGCAUGAUUGUAGCUAGAAUAUAUUCUGUAUAUCUCCAUAUAUUUUCCCUUCCUGUAAUUAGCUGUAGUUAGUUGUCAAUAGCUUAGUCAGUGGCAAUCUUUUCUAUUUACCAUGUAUAACCAUAUGUAAAUGGCUAUAUAAAGGCCUGCAAUAGUUAAUGGAAAUAACAAGAAUUGUUUCAACAUUAAUAUGGUAUCAAGAGCCUCCGAUCUAUAAUUUUUUUUCCUCUUCAUUUUCUCUUCUCUUCUUCACUAUGGCCAACAAUCAACUAACCAAUGUUGCAGAUCCCACCAAGCCUUUUACGCUUCUCCACCUUCCCAACACCAUUAAACUUACUCCCACAAACUAUAUAGCCUGGAAAACACAACUUGAAGCACAACUCUUGGGACAUGAUCUUUAUAAGUAUGUCGAUGGUUCCUUUCCUUCACCUCCAGCCUCUAUCACCGACAGCGAUGGAAAAUCAAAAGCCAAUCCAGAUGCUCUCACUUGGUUCCGACAAGAUAGACUUGUAUUUGGGGCACUUGUUGGCACUCUUUCUCAAGAUUUAGUUCCGCUCGUCUCUCAUUCUGCUAGCUCUCAUGAAGCAUGGACAAUCCUCAGAUCUACUUACGCCAACCCCUCUCGAGGUCAUCUCAAACAAAUCAAAGAUCGCUUGGCAAAUCUGUCUAAGGGGUCUCUCACAAUUGCCGAAUAUAUGCAAGCGAUAAAACAAUGUACUGAUAGGCUUGCAUCAAUGGGAAAACCAAUGGACAAUGAGGAUAUUGUCGACAAAAUCCUUACCGGCCUUGAUUAUGAAGCUUACAAACCAAUUAUUGAUGCUGUUAACACUCGUGAUACAGUGAUUUCUUUUGAGGAACUACAUGAAAAGCUAAUAACGAGGGAAAUAAUUGUGAAUAAACAGCAUGAUGCAACUCCCACAUCCAUGUUCCCAGCUACUGCUAUGACUGCACGUUUCAGGCCAACUACUGUUAACAAGCAACCAUGGACUGCUCAACCUCCAUUAUUGCCUACUCCUCGUCAACAAUCACCUGCUCGGCCACAACGUCCAUACCUUGGAAAAUGUCAGUGGUGUCGAGUGCAAGGUCAUGCCUUGAACCAGUGUCCUUCAUUCAAAACACAAUUUCCCACAAUUCAAAUUCCUUCACCUACACAAGCUCGACCAGUUCAAGUUGGUCGCUACUCUAGAAAUACUCCUCAAGCACACAUGGCAACAUCUAGUCUCCCUUCUGCAAGUGGAUGGCUUCUUGAUAGUGGGGCUUCCCAUCAUGUGACAAAUGAUCUCAAUAAUCUGUCCAUUCAUGCUCCAUAUGACGGUACCGAGGAGUUAAUCAUAGGGGAUGGUUCUUCUCUACCCAUCUCUAAUACUGGUUCUUUCUCUAUUAUCACUCCUGCUCAAACUUUUAAAUUCUCUAAUGUCUUACAUGUUCCCACUAUCUCUCGUAAUAUAUUAUCUAUAUCUCAAUUUUGUCAUGAAAAUAACACCACAAUAGAAUUCUUACCUCUUCUUUUCCGUGUCAAGGAGCGUUUGAAGGGAACAACACUCCUCCAUGGACCAAAUAAAGCUGGGGUUUAUGAGUGGAAUCCAAGUCCUCCUAGAGUCUUCACAAGUUUCAAAACACCUAUUCACGAUUGGCACCAUAGGCUUGGGCAUCCAUCUAAUUCUGUUCUUAAGACUUUAAGUUCUAAUUUUUCUUUAUGUAUGCCAAAAUAUUUGUCAUCUCAUUGCAAUUCAUGCAAUAUUAAUAAAAGUCAUAAAUUACCUUUCUCCAAUUCUUCUCUUACUUCUACUGCACCUUUACAAUUAAUUUUCACUGAUGUUUGGUCAUCUCCUCUUCACUCCUAUGACAAUUUUAAAUACUAUGUGAUUUUUGUUGAUCAUUUCACCAAAUACACUUGGUUAUAUCCACUUAAAAAGAAAUCAGACACCCUUGAUGUUUUUAUACGAUUCAGAGCUUUGGUAGAAAAUUUUUUUAAGAGAGAAAUAAUACAAGUUUUUUCAGACAAUGGGGGGGAAUAUGUAAAACUACAUCAUUACCUAACUUCAAAUGGUAUAUCACACCUCACAUCACCUCCACACACCCCUGAACACAAUGGGUUUGCCGAACGUCGUCACAGGCACAUAGUUGAAACAGGUCUUGCUUUGCUAUCCCAUGCUAAUCUUCCUCUCACAUUUUGGACACAUGCUUUUGCUACCGCAACAUACUUGAUCAAUCGUCUCCCUACUCCUACUCUCAAUAAUGAUUCUCCAUUCUUAAGAUUAUUUGGUACCCCUCCAAAUUAUUAUAAACUUAAGAAUUUUGGUUGUCUCUGUUAUCCAUGGUUACGUCCAUAUGCUUCUCACAAGCUUGAAAAUAGGUCUCUGCCAUGUAUCUUUGUCGGUUACUCUUCCUCUCAAAGUGCAUAUUAUUGCUUACAUUUCCCAACAAAAAGAAUUUAUACAUCUCGUCAUGUCAAAUUUGUGGAUGAUAUUUUCCCAUACUCUGAUCUUCAAGGUACAACCACACCAAUCUCCAACCACACUUUCGAUGAGUGGUGUAAUAUCCAACUCCCUGUACUUUCCCAGUUCCCUAAUCAACCAGUGUUGCAAUCUACUGCUCCUCCACAAGAUCACCAAACUACACAUAUAUCUUCACCGAUUACAUCCUCAUCCUCUCCUACUACAACACCAUCACCUCCACCACCACCACCUCGCCGCAUUCUUCCUCGAACAAUAGUUACCCGAUCAAAAAAUAAUAUUGUCAAGCCUAACCCCAAAUUUUUGCACCAUGUCACUACUACUUCAUCUCCUCCUUGUGAACCUAGAAAUAUCACUCAGGCCCUCAAGGAUCCUCAAUGGCGUGAUGCCAUGACCAAGGAACAUGAUGCCCUUCUUCAAAAUGAUACAUGGGAAUUAAUACCUCCUGAUUCUUCUCAAAAUGUAGUAGGAUGCAAAUGGGUCUAUCGUAUCAAGUACAAACCAGACAAUAGUAUCGAAAGGUAUAAAGCUCGUUUGGUGGCAAAAGGUUUUCAUCAACGUCCCGGAAUAGAUUACUCCGAGACUUUCAGUCCAGUUAUCAAGCCUACAACGGUUCGUUUAAUGCUUUCUCUAGCAGUUAAUAAUGGUUGGUCUAUCAGACAACUUGACAUUAACAAUGCUUUUCUUCAAGGGCAUCUCAGUGAGGAUGUAUACAUGUCUCAACCUCCCGGAUUUAUUGACAAAGAUUAUCCUUCUUAUGUAUGCAAACUGAAGAAAUCAAUUUACGGCCUUAGACAAUCACCAAGAGUUUGGUACCAAGAGCUACGCAACUUUUUACUGAAUUAUGGUUUUCGAAAUUCAGUGGCAGACUCUUCACUAUUUAUUUACAAUCUGCAUAAGGUCAGCAUUUAUGUCCUGGUUUAUGUUGACGAUAUUAUUGUGAUGGGUCCGUCUUCUUCAGCGUUACAAGAUUUUAUCACUACACUUGCAGCUCGUUUUUCUUUAAAGGAUUUGGGUGAUCUAUCGUAUUUUCUUGGAGUAGAGGUACUGCCUCACCCUAAUGGCUUGUUCUUGUGCCAACAGAAGUACAUAAAUGAUAUACUUGUUCGUGCUAUGAUGAAAGAUGCUAAACCUGUUCCCACUCCCAUGGUCACCCAGCCUUCUUUAACACUAAAUGAUGGCACACCACUCAGCAAUCCCACUGAUUAUAGGGCACUUGUUGGUAGCCUUCAAUAUCUCUCGCUUACUAGACCCGAUGUAUCUUUUGUCGUAAAUCGCCUUUCGCAAUACAUGCACAAACCUACAGAUAUACAUUGGGCUGCCUUGAAGAGAUUGUUACGGUAUCUUAACGGCACUUCUCAUCAUGGUUUGGUUAUCAGUCGCAACUCUCCUCUUCUGCUACAUGCCUUUUCUGAUGCUGACUGGGCUGGUGACAGGGACACAUAUACCUCUACUACAGGCAACAUUGUUUUUCUUGGUCGUAAUCCUCUGUCAUGGAGCUCUAAGAAACAGAAAAGUCUAGCUCGAUCUUCAACCGAAGCAGAAUUUCGGGCUGUCGCUUCUACUACUGCUGAGAUUCUUUGGUUAAAGUCUCUACUUAAAGAACUAGGAGUUUGUAUACAACAAGUUCCUACCAUUUACUGUGAUAAUUUGGGUGCUACACAGUAUUCAGUCAAUCCAGUGUUCCAUUCACGUAUGAAACAUUUAGCGUUAGACUUUCAUUUUGUUCGGGAAGAAGUCCAACGUGGUUCUUUACGAGUUCAACACAUAUCUGGAAAAGACCAAUUAGCAGAUUCUCUUACAAAGCCUCUUGCCAGGACACGCUUUCAUGAUUUGUUUUCCAAGAUCGGUCUUACCCAAAGGCCGUCCGUCUUGCGGGGGCGUAUAGAAGGAUGAUUCUGUCACACAUUAACUAUGACACAAAUAUGUAGCAUGAUUGUAGCUAGAAUAUAUUCUGUAUAUCUCCAUAUAUUUUCCCUUCCUGUAAUUAGCUGUAGUUAGUUGUCAAUAGCUUAGUCAGUGGCAAUCUUUUCUAUUUACCAUGUAUAACCAUAUGUAAAUGGCUAUAUAAAGGCCUGCAAUAGUUAAUGGAAAUAACAAGAAUUGUUUCAACAUUAAUACCGGGGUCGCACUCAUCUGUUGAAUCUGAUACUUCUGAUGGUAGUAACGGUGAGACAUCGACUCAGUAUCAGGAAGAGGAGCGAGACGUGGAAAUGGAAGAUGAAUUGACUGAAGAACUUUAGAGAGGAGAUGCUUUGUCUGACUAUGACAUUACAUUGACUAAAGAAGGGGAAGCCAUAAAUGAGUAUCUGGCGUUGAUUGCUAUUGUGGAAGACAAAACUUAGAAAGUUCCAUCUUCAGAGUGACCGGUAACAAGUGAUAUAACUUCUACUAAUCUUGGCAAAAAUCAACUUAUCUCUGUAUUACCUGUCAAUUUUAUGAUCAUUACUUCAUGCAUUACUCAGCCAUUUACACCCUUUAUAAGUGUAAUUGUGUCUAUGCACCGGAGCCCCAAAUUAUGUAUAUAGAGAGGAUGCUUCCUUUCUUUUACCCCCUAAUCCAUAUCUUAUUUCAAAUAUGAUGAUCUCCCUGAAUCAUUAAUUCUUUAAAAACAUCAUCUGUUAUUAGUAUCUCCGUACAGAGUCGAGUACGGUUCUCUAUAGGUUUUUCGUAGUAUAAAUUGACAGCAGUCCUCAACCUUGAC